CGCGCUGCCAGCGCCGCCCCGCAGCAACAACGCCGCUCAUUGGCCCGCCGCGCGCCUCCGCACGUAGAACGGCGCUCCCCAUUGGCUGAUGCGGCGCGUUGCCAUGGGAACGGCGCGGCCCCGGCCGAGGAGCGACAGCCUGCAAGAUAACCUGCAUCUGGAUGUGGCUGUUCUGGGGGCAAAACCUUCCCUGUGGAUCCCAGGAUAUCCAACCUGAAUACAUUGUUUUGUCUCUCAUCUGGUCCCUCUUUUACCUCCUGAAGCCCCAAAUCUUCUGCUGGGACUUGGUGGCAACACACAAAUAAUAACAACCAUGAUAUUUGGGAA